UUAAAAGUAUUAAUCUAUAUAGUAUAUACUACGUAAUGACUGCCACACUGUGAAGUCAAAAAAUUUUUUGCCAGAUCUUGGACACCACGUGUUUGUUUGUUUGUUUGUUGUUUUUGGUUUUUUUGUGUGUUUUGUAAACCAUCUGGGAUGAUUAUUCUAGGACAUCUAAUUAGGUUUACCCUUGUGGCAUAACUAAAUGUUCUGCCCGAUUCUAUAAGCCGCAAUUUUGGUAUUCUAUACCUAUCAAUGGUUAGAUACAGGCCACAAACUAUAGGCCUCAUUACAUAUUUCACGGCAUGGUUUGUUUUCAAGACCCUGAGAGUAUGUACAUAAUCUAACUGCAUAUAUACUUAAAUACUAAGGAAUAAAUCUACAAUCCUCACAUAGACUCACCUACAUGUGAUGGACAGAUUACGGAAAAAGUACACAGUGUAAAACAAGGACUAAGUUUACA
rnacentral:lncRNA from 1 species